AAGCUUAUCCCUCUUCCUACGAUCUGCUCAUCUUUCCCAUAUACUUCUUCAGGGGUUUUAACAACAGACACUUUGCAACUGUAAUAACUUAAUACUAUUAAAAGUUCAACUAUCUAAUUUAUCUUAUAAUUAGCAUGGGACUCUUCAAUAAUCCAUCUCUCUUUCACAUACUUGAAUAAACAAAACUUUCCUUAUCAAUGACUGAGAUCACCUUCAACUCCUUAUUCACUUUUUUAUCAAUUCUUCUAUUUUUCUGCCUGAGCAGAGUUUCAACACUUAGGAAAUUUUGAAAAAUUACAAUGCAAAAAACUUCACUUCUUUUAAUUUCAUAUAAAAUAUGAGGAAAACUCUCAAGAACAGUUGAAUAACCUUAGACCUACAGUAUUCAAUUACAAUAUUUCAAACACUAUAAGAAUGAAAAAAUUAAUUGCAAAAAUUAAAUAUUGAUCAGCUUGACCGGUUUAAACUCUUCUAUUAAACAUGCGAAUGCAUUGUCUUGAUAGAAUUUGAAUAAACUAGCUUGUUCAUAUCAAUGAUUGAGAUCACUUUCGACUCCUUAUUCACUUUUUUAUCAAUUCUUCUAUUUUUCUGCAUGAGCAGAGUUUCAACACUUAGGCAAUUUUGAAAAAUUACAAUGCAAAAAACUUCACUUCUUUUAAUUUCAUAUAAAAUAUGAGGAAAACUCUCAAGAACAGUUGAAUAACCUUAGACCUACAUUAUUCAAUUACAAUAUUUCAAACACUAUAAGAAUGAAAAAAUUAAUUGCAAAAAUUAAAUAUUGAUCAUCUUGACGGGUUUAAACUCUUCUAUUAAACAUGCGAAUGCAUUGUCUUGAUAGAAUUCGAAUAAACUAGCAUGUUCAUAUCAAUGAUUGAGAUCACUUUCGACUCCUUAUUCACUCUUUUAUCAAUUCUUCUAUUUUUCUGCCUGAGCAGAGUUUCAACACUUAGAAAAUUUUUGAAAAAAUUGCAUUCAAAACUUCAAUAAAAGUGAUGAUAAAGUCUAAUAGGCUUGAAUACAUACAUUAUUUAACAGCUAAACGAACCUUUAGACUUAAAAGAAAAAUAAUUGUGUUUUUCAUCAAGCAAAUUAGAACUCAUAAAUGUGCAUUCUUUUCUUAUUGUUUUAAAAAAUAUAAUAAAAUAUUAAUUCUCAAAAAUAGAAAAUAUACAUCAUAAAGACUCAAAUAUACAAAAAUGUAAUUUGAUGCAAGAAAUCAAUAACAUUAUUUGAUUGUCAGAUUGUGACUAGGAAUCAUUCUUGUGAAGCAACUAAUUCAACAGUUUUUAUAAUAUUAAUUAUGUAAUCUAAAGAAAUUUAAUUUACAGGGAAAAAAAAAUUAGUUACGGGAAAAAAAAUUUUAUGUACGGGACAGAAAUUUUUGAAUACGGGAAACAGAAAUUUUGUGUAAGGGAAAAUAAAUUUGAAAAUUAUUCUCCUUUUAGUCAAGUUCUAAUACCCUAUUUUCAACGUUAUCUAUUUCUAAUGAUCAUUAAAGUGCUUUCUUAAUCCAUAUUGAUGAAAUAAAUAGUGUUCUUCACAAAGUUUAUAAUUCCAAAAACUAAAUCAUUAGAGAGACAUUUUUAUCAACUUGCGAGUCUAAAUGCAAUGCACCCUGAGAAAAUACAUUCAAAUGUAAGGUUUUGGUUGAUUAGAAUUAUUUAAGUAUAUAAAUAAAAUUAAAUUAUUUUACAAGUACUAUAAAUGUCGUUUACGGGGAAAAAAAAAUUAGUUACGGGAAAAAAAAUGUUUGUACGGGAAACUUAAAUUUUGAGUACAGGAAACAAAAUUGCUUUUACAGGAAAUGAAAAUAAUGUUACAAGAAAAUGAAUAGAAUUUAAAUUUUCUUUUAUAUCUGAACUUCCCAUGAGUUUAAUUGAAUAGAUUCCGACUUUCCUUAGCUCUAUCAAUUAAAGUUUACCUUGAAAGUAUUUUAUAAGAUCAAAAAGAGACACUCUUAUAAAUUAUCGUUUCUAUUAGAAUUGAUAAAGCAAAUACUAUCAUAUAUGUUUUACAUUUAACCAAUAAUCCAUUAAGUGGUAUUAUUAUCCAAGGAUAAAUGUAUUUUAGUGGUUUUUUUCAAAUUUUUUUAUAUAAAUAUAUAAAAAUUGAAUACAGAAUUGAUCUGAUUCUAUUAUGAAUGAUAUGAAUGAUCUAAUGAAUGGACCCUCUAAUUGAAUAUAUCAAUCAUAUUUGAAUCUGAGAACCUUAAAAUUUUAGAAUUUUUUAUAAAGACUUUUUUUUGCGUCAAAUAAUAUCAUGGUAAGUGAGAAUGUAUUAUAAGGGAGGUGAAAAAAUUUUGGAUAAAAAUCGAAUUCGAUUUUGAAAUCUAAAUUGAAUUGGAAUUUCAUGAUUCGAGGGAAUGGGUCUGAGCGCAAGCAAGGAACCUCUCCUACGAUGAAAUGAUUUCUAAACAAUUUGGAUAAAUUAGUUGUCUGAACAUUGUCUUCAUUCAGCUAAAUCAAAGCGAGUUCGUAUCCAUAAAGGCAAACAUUUUUAAUGACUUGCCGACAAAUUCAUCUUUCUUAAUACUACAAUAGUUUACGACUAAAGGCUAUAACUCGAAUAGAGUUGUAGCUGUAAGCGGAAAGCUUAUUGUAUAGCCAACUUAGCAAUACGUCUGAGGUGGUAAAAAAAGGUUGGUUGCAUUAUAAUCAGAGAGAAAUUGAACAUUAAUGGUGCAAUUAGCAAUAAGUAUAGGUAUGUGUUGGUUGCCGCUUCGGCCCGACCGCCUAUAUGUUGCUCAAAGGGAAAAGCUUGCCCAAAAUAUCUGCUUCAAUUGGAGUAGAGUUUUGCAGGUAGCUCGUACCGCUGAAUGCAACGCGUAAGAUGAGAUGGCUCGGAGUAAUGAAGUCUUCGGACAUAGUUGCUCUAAAACAAAGUCAGCUUAUCGCCUAGAAGCGCAGUUCCUGCUUUCUAAUUAGUUGAGUGAACCUUUUCACUAUCUGCAGCAUAGCGGCAGUUCAUUGAACAGCCUAAACUAUGUCUGAAGUAGU
rnacentral:misc_RNA from 1 species